GCCUUUUUCAGAUGGCUUUGUUCCAGUCCUUUACGAAUAUGCUUGCACACAGGCUCCACUAUAUCCAUAGACUCAUCAGCCUGUGCAGUUUUGCCUUUGGUCCGUUUCUUUCCCAUAUUUGUAGCCUAUGAUUUUCUUCACACACAACAGUGACCGCGUCCCGCGCCGCUCACGUGUCGCCCGCACGGCCCCGCUCCGGCCUCUCCGCGCACCAG
rnacentral:lncRNA from 1 species